GAUGAACGCUGGCGGCGUGCUUAACACAUGCAAGUCGAACGGGAUCCAUCAGGCUUUGCUUGGUGGUGAGAGUGGCGAACGGGUGAGUAAUGCGUGACCGACCUGCCCCAUACACCGGAAUAGCUCCUGGAAACGGGUGGUAAUGCCGGAUGCUCCGACUCCUCGCACGGGGUGUCGGGAAAGAUUUCAUCGGUAUGGGAUGGGGUCGCGUCCUAUCAGGUAGUCGGCGGGGUAACGGCCCACCGAGCCUACGACGGGUAGCCGGCCUGAGAGGGCGACCGGCCACAUUGGGACUGAGAUACGGCCCAGACUCCUACGGGAGGCAGCAGUGGGGAAUAUUGCACAAUGGGCGCAAGCCUGAUGCAGCGACGCCGCGUGCGGGAUGACGGCCUUCGGGUUGUAAACCGCUUUUGAUCGGGAGCAAGCCUUCGGGUGAGUGUACCUUUCGAAUAAGCACCGGCUAACUACGUGCCAGCAGCCGCGGUAAUACGUAGGGUGCAAGCGUUAUCCGGAAUUAUUGGGCGUAAAGGGCUCGUAGGCGGUUCGUCGCGUCCGGUGUGAAAGUCCAUCGCUUAACGGUGGAUCUGCGCCGGGUACGGGCGGGCUGGAGUGCGGUAGGGGAGACUGGAAUUCCCGGUGUAACGGUGGAAUGUGUAGAUAUCGGGAAGAACACCAAUGGCGAAGGCAGGUCUCUGGGCCGUUACUGACGCUGAGGAGCGAAAGCGUGGGGAGCGAACAGGAUUAGAUACCCUGGUAGUCCACGCCGUAAACGGUGGAUGCUGGAUGUGGGGCCCGUUCCACGGGUUCCGUGUCGGAGCUAACGCGUUAAGCAUCCCGCCUGGGGAGUACGGCCGCAAGGCUAAAACUCAAAGAAAUUGACGGGGGCCCGCACAAGCGGCGGAGCAUGCGGAUUAAUUCGAUGCAACGCGAAGAACCUUACCUGGGCUUGACAUGUUCCCGACAGCCGUAGAGAUAUGGCCUCCCUUCGGGGCGGGUUCACAGGUGGUGCAUGGUCGUCGUCAGCUCGUGUCGUGAGAUGUUGGGUUAAGUCCCGCAACGAGCGCAACCCUCGCCCUGUGUUGCCAGCACGUCAUGGUGGGAACUCACGGGGGACCGCCGGGGUCAACUCGGAGGAAGGUGGGGAUGACGUCAGAUCAUCAUGCCCCUUACGUCCAGGGCUUCACGCAUGCUACAAUGGCCGGUACAACGGGAUGCGACACGGCGACGUGGAGCGGAUCCCUGAAAACCGGUCUCAGUUCGGAUUGGAGUCUGCAACCCGACUCCAUGAAGGCGGAGUCGCUAGUAAUCGCGGAUCAGCAACGCCGCGGUGAAUGCGUUCCCGGGCCU
rnacentral:rRNA from 1 species